rnacentral:misc_RNA from 1 species
ACAAAAAUUUUUUAGUGUCGGCUAACUUAAUUUUCAUAAUACCGAUACCUAUUUCUGUCGCUAGAGCGGCAUGGUGAUCACCUAGAUCCUAGUGACGUCACAGAAAACCCUUGAGCAUUGUAUAUUUAUAAACAUACAUGUGGAUAAAUAUUUUUUAGCGAUGUUCAUCGUUUUUACGUUUUUUAAGAAAUAAAAUAAGUAUUUCUAAAAAUGGUGAAAAAGUGUGUGAUAAAAAAUUGUCUUAGUGGCUCUUCAGCUGAAAGAAAAUUAAAAUCGCAGUUAAAUCAACGACAAACAGCUUUAUUCCAAGUACCAAAAGACCCCGAAAUGUUGCAACUAUGGAGCUCAGCAAUAUCUCAACAACUUUGUCACAAAAAUUUUAUCUGUCUAGAUUUGAUUUGAAAAUGGGUGCAGUUCCAAUACUGACCGAUGUGACAAAUAAUGACACAACUUCAUCAAAUGAUUAUUUUCGUACCAGCCAUCAUUGUACUGAUAAUGAUGAUUUGCAUACAACAAAAAAUGUAAGCGAUUUAUCCAAUGAGUUACAGCAACAAUUUGCUAGCUCUGCAUUGGACGAUGAAAUUAUUAAUAAUGCUCACUGUACAGAAAAUUUGAGUGAAGAAUUCGAAGAACAAAUGUCAGUUGCAGAUAAUUUUAUAUUGCCAUGUCAUAACAAUUCUGCUCCAUUUUCACUAAAUGAGAUAUUACAACUUAUAAAAGACCGGGGAGUACCCCAAAAUUGGUGUUGGCCUAAACAAUUGGAAACAAAGCCACAUGUGAUUUUAUAUUACAUUGACAAUUUUUUGGAGAAACUAAAAUUAUCAAUUAAAAUUGGUUAUGAUUUGACAGUCCAGAUAACUAUCUUGGAAACGGGAGUUGCUAUUAAUUAUAAUUAUUCAAUAACAUCGCCGACAUCGUUUUGGAAUAUGCUACGAGAAAUAGAAACUUGUCAGUUCUGUAGUGGCGCUGGACUUAACGGAAGAUGCUCAACCGCAUGUGAAGGUAUUUUACAAUCCGAUAAAAAAUAUAAACGAUUUAAAAGAGAAAUUAGAUGUUUAGGUUGUCGCAAGUUACGAAAGAGAUUAUUAAUAUUAGCAAAGAAAAAGAAAGAAGAUUUAAAUAGUCGUUAUAUCACGAUUAAACGUAAACUUCAUGCAAAACAAUAACAUUUACGUCGUCUACAUUUAAAGAGCCAGCAGUUGAUAAAUAUUACCACUACCUUUCAAGGAUACAUUAAAUCGUUAUAUUAAUAAACUAGACAGUGCAUUUGGUUUUCCCCAAGCAAUAUUUGAUACUCUUCGUUUGAAAGCAUCGCGAAUGGAAAAUUGGGCCCAUUAUUAUAUAUUUACAAAAUCAGCAAAAAGCUAAAUCUACAGCUUCAUUAACAUUAAGCAACACUAACGUUAUGUUUAAAUAAAUAGAAAAAAAAAUCCAUUGGUACUUUAUUAAUUGAUGAAAUUUCUUUAAGUGAAUCAGUAAAAUUAAAUACGAAAACAAUGGAGUUCAAUGGCUUUGUCAAUUUAGGUGAUUACACUCCUCAACAUUUAAUAAAUGAAAGAGCUGAUCAUGCAUUAGUUUUCAUGUAUCAACUUUUCCAUGGCUCAUGGGUACAAGUUCUGGGAUACUUUUUGAGUAAAACUGCAAUCACGAAAGAUAUUUUACAUAAACUAAUUACCGAUUGCAUCAUUCAUCGAUCGUAUAAUACGUCUAGGCAACUAUGGUUUAUGUCUGACUUUCCUCACUUAUUAAAAUGCUAUCGUACCAACAUCCUUAAAAAGCCAUCGUUUUGGACUCCAGAUGGAAUAGUCAAAAAAAGUCAUUGGGAGGCUUUAUUGCAACAUGAGCUUCAAUUUAGAUCCAACCUGAAAGUAUCCUAUAAAUUAACGUCGCAACAUUUAAACCCAGUAGGGUAUCAGAAAAUGAAUGUUCGUUUAGAUGAAGAUGUAUAAUAGGUUUAAAAGAUUGAAUUUUUUUAUUAAUAUUUUUCAAAAGCUUUUUAUCUUAACAACAUGAAGUUUUCGAGCAAGUCAAUCAUAAUAUCAAGUAUUUAUUAUUUAUACGAAUAUAUUCACCGUUUUAUUAGAAACAAAUUUUAUGGAUAUAAAAGUUUUAUAAAUCGUAAAUAAAUAUUUUCACAGAUAAUUUAA